rnacentral:rRNA from 1 species
UACAGAGGGGGCAAGCGUUGUUCGGAAUUACUGGGCGUAAAGGGCGCGUAGGCGGCCUUCUAAGUCGAACGUGAAAUCCCCGGGCUCAACCCGGGAACUGCGUCCGAUACUGGAAGGCUUGAAUCCGGGAGAGGGAUGCGGAAUUCCAGGUGUAGCGGUGAAAUGCGUAGAUAUCUGGAGGAACACCGGUGGCGAAGGCGGCAUUCUGGACCAUAACUGACACUGAGAGACGAAAGCCAGGGGAGCAAACGGG